rnacentral:lncRNA from 1 species
ACGUAUUUGAAUCUGUCUCUGAGUUUUUUCUUCUGUUCCACUGGUCUAAUUGUUCUGUACCUGUACUUCUUUGCCUGUACUUUUAAAAUUCCACUGGCUUUGUCUGGUAGUCUUAAUCCAUGGUAGGUAUUGAAGGACUGCAUCCUUUUCUGAUUUCCCCACAUGUCCUUGGAGCAGCUGCCUCAGCAUAACAAAAUGGCUGCAAAAGGCAGAAGCAAUAGUGAGACGCUUGUCCUUAGAAUAAAUUGAUAGAAAUGAAUGAAGAUUAAGGAACAGGUUAAAAAAAAAACUGUGACUGGAUAGAACAUUUUCUUGGAAGAAAUGAAGAAAAAAGAAGUAGGAGAGGAAGAGGAGAAGGACUAAAAGAAAAAGAAACAGGCAAUGUGGGAACAGCACCGAAACUGGGGGAGGUUUUGUCCAGUAUAAUAGUGCAUGAAGGCAAGGAGGCCAAAGAAAAUAUGAAGGGGCUAGAAUAGUCUGGACCUCUGUGAACUUGGAAAAUUGAGCAACCAGGCCUCCUCUCCAAUACGGAGCCCCACACUGAAGAGAAACUGAUAGGAAUAGAAUGAAAAUUGUAAAAGACAGGGAAUUUCACUUCCAAAAAGAUGAAACAAAGGGACCAGGUUGACCCUGUCACGUGAAACAAACAAAAAAUAGACAACAUAUACAAAAUAAUGGUUUUUAAGACCCUGAACAUCAGGCAAUGGACAGUAAUCCCUGAAAGAUGGGAAACAAAGGUGAGCCCUGUGAUUGUCCUAGCUUACUGCCUCAGGACAAUUUCUAGGCCACAGUACAGGGAGGGGAAACCCAGGCAGAGCUCAUAGACUCUGCAUUGAAAAGACAAAGCUAUCCUCAUCUCUCACCUUAUACAAAAACCAACUCAAGGUAGAAGACUUAAAUCUAAAACCUGAAGCCAUAAAAAUUCUUUGCCCAAGCCAAUGUCUAGAAGAGUUUUUCUGAAGAUAACAUCAGAAAAACUCCUCUAGACCUUCUAGACAUAGGCUUAGGCAAAGAAUUCAUGACUAAGACCCCAAAAGCAAAUGCAACAAAAACAGAAAUAAAUAAAUGGGACCUAAUUAAACUAAAAAGCUUCUGCAGAGCAAAAGAAAUAAAUCAGCAGAGUAAACAGACAACCCACAGAGUGGGAGAAAAAAAUUGCAAACUAUGUAUCCAAUAAAGGAGUAGUAUACAGAAUCUACAAGGAAUGCAAACAAAUCAACAAGAAAAAAAUAAUCCCAUCAAAAAGUGGGCAAAGAACAUGAAUACACAUUUCGCAAAAGAAGAUAUACAAACAGCCAAGAAACAUAUGAAGAAAUGCUUGGCCGGGCGCAGUGGCUCAUUCCUGUAAUCCCAGCUCUUUGGGAGGCUGGGGCAGGUGGAUCACUUGAGGCCAGGAGUUCAAGACAAGCCUGGCUAACAUGGUGAAACUCUGUCUCUACUAAAAAUACAAAAAUUAGCCGGGGGUGGUGGUGCAUGCCUGUACUCCCAGCUACUCGGGACGUUGAGGCAGGAGAAUCACUUGAAUCCAGCAGGCGGAGGUUGCAGUGAGCCAAGAUCAUGCCACUGCACUCCAGCCUGGGCUACAGAGUGAGACUCUGUCUCAAAAAAAAAAAAAGAAAAUAAAAAAGAAAUGUUCAACAUCACUAAUCAUCAGAAAAAUGCAAAUUAAAACCACAAUGAAAUACCACCUUACUCCUGCAAGAAUGGCCAUAAUUAAAAAGUCAAAAAACAAUAGAUGGAUGGCCAGGCGCAGUGGUUCAUGCCUGUAAUCCCAGCACUUUGGGAGGCCAAGGCAGGUAGAUCACCUGAGGUCAGGAGUUUGACACCAGCCUGGCCAACAUGAUGAAACCCCAUCUCUACUAAAAAUACAAAAAAUUAGCUGGGUGUGAUGGUGGGUGCCUGUAAUCCCAGCUACUCGGGAGACUGAGACAGGAGAAUCGCUUGCACCCAGGAGGCGGAGGUUGCAGUGAGCCAAGAUCGUGCCAUUACAUUCCAGCCUGGGCAACAAAGCAAGACUCUGUCUCAAAAAAAAAAAAAAAAAAAAAAACACCAGUUACACCAGUUAGGAUUAAAGACAGAUUUGACAUUGCAGAAGAAAAUAGUGGUGAACUGGAAGGUACGACAAUAGAAACUAUCCACAGUGAAACACAGAGAGAAAAAAAAGAAUUUCAAAAAUGAACAAAAGAUCACUGUGCUAUGAGACUUCAAGUCACCUAGUAUAUGUGUAACUGAUAUCCCCAAAGAAGAGGAAAGAGAGUGAAGACAGAAAAAAUAACUUCUAAAAAUAAUACCCAGCUGGGCAGUGGCUGCUGCCUGUAAUCCCAGCACUUUGGGAGGCUGAGCUGGACAGACCACCUGAGGUCGGGAGAUCGAAACCAGCCUGACCAACAUGGAGAAACCCCGUCUCUACUAAAAAAUCCAAAAUUAGCUGGGCGU